UAGAGUUUUGACUCCGUGGCUCAGGACGAACGCUGGCGGCGUGCUUAACACAUGCAAGUCGACGGAAGGCCCUGCUUGCAGGGUACUCGAGUGGCGAACGGGUGAGUAACACGUGGGUGAUCUGCCCUGCACUUCGGGAUAAGCUUGGGAAACUGGGUCUAAUACCGGAUAGGAGCCAUCUUUAGUGUGGUGGUUGGAAAGUUUUUUCGGUGUAGGAUGAGCUCGCGGCCUAUCAGCUUGUUGGUGGGGUAAUGGCCUACCAAGGCGGCGACGGGUAGCCGGCCUGAGAGGGUGUACGGCCACAUUGGGACUGAGAUACGGCCCAGACUCCUACGGGAGGCAGCAGUGGGGAAUAUUGCACAAUGGGCGCAAGCCUAAUGCAGCGACGCCGCGUGGGGGAUGAAGGCCUUCGGGUUGUAAACUCCUUUCGCUAGGGACGAAGCUUUGUGUGACGGUACCUAGAUAAGAAGCACCGGCUAACUACGUG
rnacentral:rRNA from 1 species